rnacentral:rRNA from 1 species
UACAGAGGGUGCAAGCGUUAAUCGGAAUUACUGGGCGUAAAGGGUGCGUAGGUGGUUCAAUAAGUUAGGUGUGAAAGCCCCGGGCUUAACCUGGGAAUGGCGCCUAAUACUGUUGAGCUAGAGUACUGUAGAGGAAGGUAGAAUUUCCAGUGUAGCGGUGAAAUGCGUAGAUAUUGGAAGGAAUACCAGUGGCGAAGGCGACCUUCUGGACAGAUACUGACACUGAGGCACGAAAGCGUGGGGAGCAAACAGG